CGCAGCUGAGAGUUUUGAAUUUACUGCAUAUUAGCAGUCCUUACUUUAUUGAGAAUCCAGAGCUGCAAAUGUCCAAUGCCUUUUUCCUCUGAUUUGUUUUUCCAGAUUUGCAAAAUCCUAAUNAGCUUAUGGAAACAGAUCAUAUGCACUAAUUUCAGUUUGUUGGCUAACAAUUUGUUUAACUAAUUGUUUUGUGUGCAGAAUUAGAAUUUGGCUUGACCAAGGAGUAGCAAGUUGUGAUUGUUAAAUCAAUGCUCA
rnacentral:lncRNA from 1 species